CAGCCGCCGCGGGAAUACGUAGGGCGCAAGCGUUAUCCGGAAUUAUUGGGCGUAAAGAGCUCGUAGGCGGUUUGUCGCGUCUGCCGUGAAAGUCCGGGGCUCAACCCCGGAUCUGCGGUGGGUACGGGCAGACUAGAGUGAUGUAGGGGAGACUGGAAUUCCUGGUGUAGCGGUGAAAUGCGCAGAUAUCAGGAGGAACACCGAUGGCGAAGGCAGGUCUCUGGGCAUUAACUGACGCUGAGGAGCGAAAGCAUGGGGAGCGAACAGGAUUAGAUACCCCAGUAGUCCCUGUCUCUUAUAA
rnacentral:rRNA from 1 species